AGUGAACGCUGGCGGUAGGCCUAACACAUGCAAGUCGAACGGCAGCACAGUAAGAGCUUGCUCUUACGGGUGGCGAGUGGCGGACGGGUGAGGAAUACAUCGGAAUCUACUUUUUCGUGGGGGUUAACGUAGGGAAACUUACGCUAAUACGGCAUACGACCUACGGGUGAAAGCAGGGGAUCUUCGGACCUUGCGCGAUUGAAGGAGCCGAUGUCGGAUUAGCUAGUUGGCGGGGUAAAGGCCCACCAAGGAGACGAUCCGUAGCUGGUCUGAGAGGAUGGUCAGCCACACUGGUACUGAGGCACGGUCCAGACGCCUACGGGAGGCAGCAGUGGGGAAUAUUGGAGCAUGGGCGCAAGACUGAUCCAGCCAUACCGCGUGGGUGAAGAUGGCCUUCGGGUUGUAGAGCCCUUUUGUUGGGAAAGAAGAGCAGCAGGUUAAUACCCCGCUGUUCUGACGGUACCCAAAGAAUAAGCACCGGCUAACUUCGUG
rnacentral:rRNA from 1 species